rnacentral:lncRNA from 10 species
AAUUAACUUCUUUAUGUAUUGUAUAUGUUAUAAAUAACUAGAAGGAAUUACGUACUUUUAUAUUCAAUAAAUAAAUACAUUUAAAGCUCAGAUACUUUCACUAAAAUAGAUCCACAAAGAAGCUUGGAAUGUUCUUCUGUGGUCUUCAGAACUAUGUGUGGUGAGCAAUUAUCAGGAAUAAUACAUGUGUCUGUUUUUGAAUUCAGUAAGCCUUCUAAACAUUAUUUUAAAACUACUCCACAGAGAUGAUAAAAGGUGUAUUAAUCACCUAAAUGCCUAUAAAUUGAGAUUUAAGGUCAGAGAUAUUCCCUUAGUUUACUUAAGAUAUUCCUUGGAUAUCCCUUAGAUAUUUCCCUAGUUGUCCCACACGGGCUUGCUUGAUCACACAUCAUAUCCUGGUACAUACGAGGUUCUGAGUUAGCACUGUGGAAUUGGUGUACAAGGCUUACAAGUCAGCUUUUAAAACGUAAUAAUGAUAGCAUCUAUAAUACUAUUCUAGUGAUUCUAUGCUUUUCUUUUUGUUAAAAUCAUCCCUUAUUUUAGGAAUAAGCUAAGUAAAGAGGGAACAUGGAGUCAGACUGAAAUCUACUUCAGGGCUCACCUUUGUCGGAUGAACAGUGAACGCUCUGACAUUGACAUUCACAGCAGCAUUGCUGCCGGGUAUUGCUAUAAUUUGCUCUCUAUGAUUGUUCCUUUAAACAAAAAGCUCUGCGCUCAGCAUGCAAAGAAGUUAGAAGUGCGGGAAGGAGGGGGAACCACACAUAUAAGAGGAGAGAGAGGAAAAAACUGCAGAUCAAUCAUUUAUAAUUAACAAAAAUCCGAUUGGUGCUUUAAAUAGAGAUCAAUGUGUUCCAGGCUGCCUGGAUUGUGGGGAUGUAUUCACCUUCUGGUAACUCUCCAAGCAAGCUGUCACACCUACAGAAUCACCAUUUGUUUUCUUAACAAAGCUUCAGGGGGCGCCAGGCUCUCAUUGAAAUUUCAUUAAUCUAAUGGAGUAAAGUCCUAUAGAAAAAAAUCAAAUUCUCGUUGGACGAGAUGCUACCUGGGAAAGAUAACCUCUGUUUGAACUCUCAGACUCGGAUCUCUCUGCUAUUAGUCUGAGGAAACAGACAGCAACAACGCUGAUUACAGCCACCGGCCUCAACAAUUUUUUUUUCUAACUAGCAAUUUCGAGUGCAAGUGCCACAGUGUCAGCUAAAGAAACACAACUGCGGGUUUUCUGCAGAGCAAAAUGGUUCUGAAAUGUCACUGAAUAGCUCACAAAGGACGCCAAUCUACGACAACAGAGACAUAAGCAUAUAGGAGAAAGGGUCCACACAUCCUCCUUUCAAAGUGUGGAGAAAAGAGAGAGAAAGGGAGAGAAGAGUCAUGGACCCUACUUUAUGGUUGCCAUGGAUGCAAGGUCAGCCUUCCACACUUGGAUCUACCAGCAGAGUUCAGACAGGUCAACGUGUGACCGGCUCAGGCCCUGGGGUUAAAAGUUCAAGCAGCUAUGGAAAAACCAAUAUGUCCACGCAGAGUAUGCUGUACAAUUUAUUUCAAUUUACAUCAAGCCAUGCAUAUAAAAUUUAGAUAAAUUCCAUUCAGAUCUGAUGUUGCCUGACACACAAUGUAUGCAAACAGAUGUCUGUGGGGCUUUUUCUGUGCUUUAGAAAACAACAUUAAAUUUAAAAAUAUGUCUCUGGGAUUUCUUUAUUGAAUUACAAAAUGAACAUAAUUUUAACUUAAAUGUUUUCAUUCUUUUUUCCAAUUUUUUUGUGUGGGGGUCUUAAUAAUUUCUCAGUUCUCAAUCUACUCUAUGUCAUAUUAAAGAGGAUAAUGUAUAUUUACAACUACAGCUUCAGUGUUAUUGUAGUUAUAGAUUCUAUUUAUAUCCCUUACCACUUUCCGCAAAUAUUUAGUGAUUGAUAUUUCUGAUUUAUCUCUGGUUUCUAGCCUCAUCUCCAUUCCUUUCUACUUUGAACAUAGCAAGUCCUGGAGGCUGCUGGGUCGUCUUCCAGCCACAAGGUGGCUCCCCCAAUCCCUUCUCUCAAGCCAAUCGAUGUACACCUUUGCUGAGUUCUCCAGGCGGACUACAAUUCAGAGCUAAUUAUGAUCUAUAAAUGCCAUUAUUUUCAUUGUGAAGUAAAUGGCUUAUGACCAAGACCCUGGUACACUAAGAUACAAUGCAAAAUUAGUCUUUAAAAAUAGGAGAAAGAAAAAUACCUUUGUAUUUGCCUAAUUUCUCUUCACCCAUCCUUCCAAAAGUACAACUGAGCUAUCCUUAGAGUAAAAUAAGAAAAAUAAUAAAAGGCUCCAGAGGAACCUAAUUUUGUUGUCAAUGAACAUAGUCAUAGACUAGACAAGGUCAAAUUUUAAGAAAAGUAUACAACUUAUUCUCACUUAAACUAGACCUACUUUUGGAUUUGAUAUUUUACCACAAGAGAGUUUUGAUGAGAAGACUUUGCAAAACUUUCUUAGAAGUCCCACAUCAUGCCAUCAUUGAAGAACAGUGAUCUCCAAUACUGCAAGGCUUUAAAAGGAGUGGAAAUAUUACAUAUUUCCUUUUUGUUGCUUAGCAAACAUGUUGCAUAUUUCAUAAAUGUGAUUUUUAUAGAAGACAUCAUAAUUUUCUACAGCUGAAAUAGGCAUAGAAAGACAAAUCAUUCAUCCAAUUACAUGGAAGGUCUUUCUAAAAGUCUGAGUCCUAAUUUCUCACAGUUUUUCAUUUUCUGUUCUGGAGAGAAGCUAUUUAACCUUUGGGCAAGUUUCGUUUUCCUUAUCUGUAAAAUGGAGAUAAAAAUAGGAACUAUGCCUCAUGGGAUUUUUGCCAGGAUUAAAUGAGUUAAUAUACAUAAAGCACUUACAAAAGUCCUUGUUACAUAAUAAAAGCCAUAUAAAUGUUUGUUAUUAUUAUUAUUGUUUAUUUGAGCUCAGUUCCUCCUUGACAAGUACUUCAUGACACAAUCACUUGAGAAAAAUAAACUUUCAUAGAUUUCAUAAAGACCUGAAAAGUAUCAUUUUUUUUGAUACCUGAGAGCUCUGAUCGGGGUAACUGACGGUGUAUGGGCUUUUUCUUCCUCAAGAACUUUAAAAAAUUAGCAUUUUCAUCCCAAUUCAUGGUAUUACUUUCAAUAUGACACUAAAAAAAGAAACUGCUGAUUUCCAAAUCUCAAGCAGGUUUUAGAUAACACUUUAAAAAAUGCAUCAUUUUACUAAAGCAAAAAACAACCAUAAGUAGUGGUUCUAAUAACUUGGUUCCGAUAUUUGUAUUGUAAAUAUUUUCAUGUUACUUUUCCACUAUAUUAAAAAAAAAGUCUUUAGGAGCUUACUCAUGCCAGAAUAUAACUUUGUUAAGCCUCUUGUUAAACUUAGAACGUAUGAGUCCCCUGCUUCUAACAUAAAUAAAUGUUUUGAAUUCCCC